UCUGGAAACUGUNUGACUUGAGUGCAGAAGGGGAGAGUGGAAUUCCAUGUGUAGCGGUGAAAUGCGUAGAUAUAUGGAGGAACACCAGUGGCGAAAGCGGCUCUCUGGUCUGUCACUGACGCUGAGGCUCGAAAGCGUGGGUAGCGAACAGGAUUAGAUACCCUGGUAGUCCACGCCGUAAACGAUGAGUGCUAGGUGUUAGGCCCUUUCCGGGGCUUAGUGCCGGAGCUAACGCAAUAAGCACUCCGCCUGGGGAGUACGACCGCAAGGUUGAAACUCAAAGGAAUUGACGGGGGCCCGCACAAGCGGUGGAGCAUGUGGUUUAAUUCGAAGCAACGCGAAGAACCUUACCAGGUCUUGACAUCCCGAUGCUAUUCUUAGAGAUAGGAAGUUACUUCGGUACAUCGGAGACAGGUGGUGCAUGGUUGUCGUCAGCUCGUGUCGUGAGAUGUUGGGUUAAGUCCCGCAACGAGCGCAACCCUUAUUGUUAGUUGCCAUCAUUAAGUUGGGCACUCUAGCGAGACUGCCGGUAAUAAACCGGAGGAAGGUGGGGAUGACGUCAAAUCAUCAUGCCCCUUAUGACCUGGGCUACACACGUGCUACAAUGGUCGGUACAACGAGUUGCGAGCCGGUGACGGCAAGCUAAUCUCUGAAAGCCGAUCUCAGUUCGGAUUGGAGGCUGCAACUCGCCUCCAUGAAGUCGGAAUCGCUAGUAAUCGCGGAUCAGCACGCCACGGUGAAUACGUUCCCGGGCCUUGUACACACCGCCCGUCACACCACGAGAGUUUGUAACACCCGAAGUCGGUGAGGUAACCUUUU
rnacentral:rRNA from 1 species